rnacentral:rRNA from 1 species
GGCAGACGGGUGAGUAACGCGUGGGAACGUGCCCUUCAGUUCGGAAUAACCCAGGAAACUUGGGCUAAUACCGGAUACGUGCGAGAGCAGAAAGAUUUAUCGCUGAAGGAUCGGCCCGCGUCUGAUUAGCUAGUUGGUGAGGUAACUGGCUCACCAAGGCGACGAUCAGUAGCUGGUCUGAGAGGAUGAUCAGCCACAUUGGGACUGACGACACGGCCAAACUCCUACGGGCAGGCAGCCAGUGGGGAAUAUUGGACCAACUGGGCGCAAGCCUGAUCCAGCCAUGCCGCGUGAGUGAUUGAAGGCCUUAGGGUUGUAACACGCUCUUUCGUCCGGGACGAUAACUGACGGCUCACCGGACACAAGAAGCCCCGGC